rnacentral:lncRNA from 12 species
UUCAAGAAGAAAAUUAUGUUACUAUUUCCAUAAAUGUUGAAUAAUUUCUGACAAAUUUCAACACUUAUUAAAAAAAAAAAAAAACUUAUUUCUUAGCCUUGACUCUCAAAGUUGACUUUCUAGGGACACAGUAGUAUUAAAUACUGGCCUUUUUUUUUUUUUUUUUUAGGAGAGAGAGUCUUCUCUACAUUGGAAAAGUUCUUUACUUACCAAGAACCAAGUCUGGCCACCUAAGAUCACCGAAUCACAUCAUAGGCCCGAGAAAAGACCCUAAAUAAGGCAAAGGGGUCAGAAGCAAGUGUCCUGUCUACCACUUCUCAAGAUUAAAGCCCCUGAUGGUGAAGGAGUGUGAAGAACAAUAGAAAAAACAACAUGGGGUUGGAGUUAAUGUAAAGGGAGAGCUUCGUUCUUGCACACCUAUCAUCACUAAGAUGCUGAACUUUUGAAGAGAGAGAAUCCAGUGCUUAAAGCCAAAAGAGAGUGAGAGAGACUAGAAGCUCAUGUUUGAUGAGGAACAAAAUGCUUCAUACUCUGUAAGAGACCUUCAGCCUCUUCAUUCCAAAGGUAAGCAGAAGGCGGUUCAAAGAGGUACCAAGACUCAUCCACUUUCCCAACAUAACCUUGAAGAGUUUAAGAAGAUGAAUGAGAUAAUCAGCUUUAAGCAUCACAACUUAAGGCACAAAACAUCUGUUCCAGGCCUGAAGGGAUCAUUUCAUUUUCAACAAAGUAUCCUUGAAAGGACUUCAGAGUUCAUCUGAUGCAAAAUUACAAGAUGUUGGCCUAAGGACCACAUACUGAUAUAGUUGGUUUUGGUUUUUUAGGGUUUUUGUUUUGUUUUGUUUCCUUAUUUUUUACUCACGCAAGCUUUUUAUUUUUUUAAUUUAAGAUUUGAAAGUUGUCACAUAAAAGUCUAGGUUCCUGGCUUCUUUUGAUAAGUAGAAGGUCUGGUGACCUCAGGGGUACAUACCUGGAGCUGAGAGGUCACUGACACCAUUGGGUCAUUGGGCCACUUUAUUCAUUUGUGUAAACCCCUGAAGACAUUUGAGUUUAUGACUCCUUUUGUCUUCCAGCUCCUUCAAUUCAGAAAAAAAGGAAGCAUAGACGCGAGAGGGUCUAAUGUACUUAAACAAAGCCACAUGCCAGAUUGGCAAAGCCAGAUCUAAAACCCCACAGUUUUGCCUCUCAGACCCUUUAAAAAUAUGCUGUAUUCCAAUUGAGCACAAAUGCUUUUAUUGACAAAUUAGAUGAUUCCUAAGGGUCUUUUGUUCCCCUGUAAGGGUUAUUUAUUUUAGCAGUAAGAUCAAGUUUAGUGUCACAAAUGAAUGCAGUGUUUUAAGAUGGGGCUAAAAUAUUAAUUGUCUUACUUAUCUCUGUGUUUAUAAGCACAGUUCUGUGGUCAGACCAAACUUGGCUUUGCCAUUACCGUGGGUAAGCUUCUCAAGUUUCUAAUAAGAGUUAUACAUAUCACACAGUGACAGCAGUGAGGAUUAAAUGAAAUAUUUCAUGUAAAGUGUUCAGUAUGGUGUCUGGAAUAUAGUAAGCAUUCUACAGAUCUCGUUGAAUUAUGACCUCAGAGAAAUUAAAAUAAAUAUGGCAAAACUAGCA